GUAUAUUACUCACCUAGGGAGCAAAGUAUGGCAUUCCGACCCGCGUAAUAUUGUCACCCGAGCCGAAGGCGAGGGUGACAAAAACGCGGGUCGGGAUGUCAUACUUUGCUCCCGUGCGCCUACUUUUCUCCCGCUGCAUCUGUAACAAACGUAGAUGUCGCUUCCUGCCUUCCUCUCUUCUCGCUGCGUAAAACGAAGUUGCCGCUUUCUUACUAUACUGUCCUAGCGCAUGCGCACUAAUUCGUUACUACAUUCAAGCGGGAGGGAAUGAGGCACUUUUCUCCCUGGCACAGAUUCAACCGGGCGGGAAUGGGGCACUUUGCUCCCUGAAAACAGGGAGCAAAAUACGUACUUUCCAUCCAG
rnacentral:lncRNA from 1 species